UACGUAGGUGGCGAGCGUUGUCCGGAUUUACUGGGCGUAAAGAGCGCGCAGGCGGCUGGUCAAGUCCGAUGUGAAAGCUCCCGGCUUAACUGGGAAAUUGCAUCGGAAACUGAUCGGCUGGAAGGUGGGAGAGGGUAGCGGAAUUCCCGGUGUAGUGGUGAAAUGCGUAGAGAUCCGGAGGAACACCAGAGGCGCAGGCGGCUUGCUGGGUCUGUAUUGACGCUCAGACACGAAAGCAUGGGGAGCGAACGGG
rnacentral:rRNA from 1 species